UGGAUUAGGAUGGUGCUGGCUUCAUGAAAAGAGUUUGAGAGUCUCCCAUCUUCAAUUUUUUGAAACAAUCUGUAAAAGAUAGGGGUUAGCGCUUCCUUAAAUGCUUUGUAGAAUUCUCCUGUCAAACCAUCUGGUCCAAGACGUUUGUGUGGUGGGAUUUUUUUUAUUACUGCUUCAAUUUUUCAGCUGUUAUUGG